rnacentral:pre_miRNA from 1 species
UGGACAUAUUAUUGUAUUCGACUGUAUUCAUGGCGUGAAAUAGGAAAUUACACUAUUUUAAAACGGAAAGUGAAUCAAUUAAUAUAAUAGACUCCU